UGUAUAGCAUUAUACCGUGAAACUGCGAAUGGCUCAUUAAAUCAGUUAUCGUUUAUUUGAUAAUACCUUACUACUUGGAUAACCGUGGUAAUUCUAGAGCUAAUACAUGCUGAAAAUCCCGACUUCGGAAGGGAUGUGUUUAUUAGAUAAAAAACCAAUGCCCUUCGGGGCUCUUUGGUGAUUCAUGAUAACUUUACGGAUCGCAUAGCCUUGCGCUGGCGACGGUUCAUUCAAAUUUCUGCCCUAUCAACUUUCGAUGGUAAGGUAUUGGCUUACCAUGGUUUCAACGGGUAACGGGGAAUUAGGGUUCGAUUCCGGAGAGGGAGCCUGAGAAACGGCUACCACAUCCAAGGAAGGCAGCAGGCGCGCAAAUUACCCAAUCCCGACACGGGGAGGUAGUGACAAUAAAUACUGAUACAGGGCUCUUUUGGGUCUUGUAAUUGGAAUGAGUACAAUUUAAACCUCUUAACGAGGAACAAUUGGAGGGCAAGUCUGGUGCCAGCAGCCGCGGUAAUUCCAGCUCCAAUAGCGUAUAUUAAAGUUGUUGCAGUUAAAAAGCUCGUAGUUGAAACUUGGGCCUGGCUGGCGGGUCCGCCUCACCGCGUGCACUCGUCCGGCCGGGCCUUCCUUCUGAAGAACCUCAUGCCCUUCACUGGGCGUGUUGGGGAAUCAGGACUUUUACUUUGAAAAAAUUAGAGUGUUCAAAGCAGGCCUUUGCUCGAAUACGUUAGCAUGGAAUAAUAAAAUAGGGCGUGCGUUUCUAUUUUGUUGGUUUCUAGAGACGCCGCAAUGAUUAACAGGAACAGUCGGGGGCAUCAGUAUUCAGUUGUCAGAGGUGAAAUUCUUGGAUUUACUGAAGACUU
rnacentral:rRNA from 1 species